rnacentral:sRNA from 1 species
AUUAGCGUACUGUGACGCUCGUUGGAAAGAUUUAGCAAAGCAUUUCACGAAUAAGACCUUUUGUGUUGUCACACCUCUUGUCCUGUUUUUGAUCCUGCAAGUUUUUUUGUUUCCCGCAUAUCGCUGAUCAAAGAUCACAACGAUCUUUCGACGGCACAUUUAUGAUUAAUUUCAGGAUAUCUAUUUAUGUCUACAAUUACCGGCAACGUUAAGUUCUUCAACGAAGCAAAAGGUUUUGGCUUUAUUACUCGUGAAGGCGGCGCAGACGUCUUUGUUCAUUACAGCUCUAUUCAGGGUGGCGGUUUCAAAACUCUGGCCGAAGGCCAGGAAGUUGAGUUCACCGUGACCGAAGGCCAGAAAGGCCCGCAGGCAGAGAACGUUAUUGGCCUGUAAAUAACAGGUAAUACCGUGAUCGAAAAAAGGCAGCCUCAGGCUGCCUUUUUUG